UACAGAGGUGGCAAGCGUUGUUCGGAAUUACUGGGCGUAAAGGGCGCGUAGGCGGCCAUCUAAGUCAGACGUGAAAUCCCCCGGCUUAACCUGGGAACUGCGUCUGAUACUGGACGGCUUGAGUAUGGGAGAGGGAUGUAGAAUUCCAGGUGUAGCGGUGAAAUGCGUAGAUAUCUGGAGGAAUACCGGUGGCGAAGGCGGUAUCCUGGACCAUUACUGACGCUGAGGCGCGAAAGCUAGGGGAGCAAACGGG
rnacentral:rRNA from 1 species